GGUGAACGCUGGCGGCGUGCCUAAUACAUGCAAGUCGAGCGAACGGACGAGAAGCUUGCUUUUCUGAUGUUAGCGGCGGACGGGUGAGUAACACGUGGAUAACCUACCUAUAAGACUGGGAUAACUUCGGGAAACCGGAGCUAAUACCGGAUAAUAUUUUGAACCGCAUGGUUCAAAAGUGAAAGACGGUCUUGCUGUCACUUAUAGAUGGAUCCGCGCUGCAUUAGCUAGUUGGUAAGGUAACGGCUUACCAAGGCAACGAUGCAUAGCCGACCUGAGAGGGUGAUCGGCCACACUGGAACUGAGACACGGUCCAGACUCCUACGGGAGGCAGCAGUAGGGAAUCUUCCGCAAUGGGCGAAAGCCUGACGGAGCAACGCCGCGUGAGUGAUGAAGGUCUUCGGAUCGUAAAACUCUGUUAUUAGGGAAGAACAUAUGUGUAAGUAACUGUGCACAUCUUGACGGUACCUAAUCAGAAAGCCACGGCUAACUACGUGCCAGCAGCCGCGGUAAUACGUAGGUGGCAAGCGUUAUCCGGAAUUAUUGGGCGUAAAGCGCGCGUAGGCGGUUUUUUAAGUCUGAUGUGAAAGCCCACGGCUCAACCGUGGAGGGUCAUUGGAAACUGGAAAACUUGAGUGCAGAAGAGGAAAGUGGAAUUCCAUGUGUAGCGGUGAAAUGCGCAGAGAUAUGGAGGAACACCAGUGGCGAAGGCGACUUUCUGGCCUGUAACUGACGCUGAUGUGCGAAAGCGUGGGGAUCAAACAGGAUUAGAUACCCUGGUAGUCCACGCCGUAAACGAUGAGUGCUAAGUGUUAGGGGGUUUCCGCCCCUUAGUGCUGCAGCUAACGCAUUAAGCACUCCGCCUGGGGAGUACGACCGCAAGGUUGAAACUCAAAGGAAUUGACGGGGACCCGCACAAGCGGUGGAGCAUGUGGUUUAAUUCGAAGCAACGCGAAGAACCUUACCAAAUCUUGACAUCCUUUGACAACUCUAGAGAUAGAGCCUUCCCCUUCGGGGGACAAAGUGACAGGUGGUGCAUGGUUGUCGUCAGCUCGUGUCGUGAGAUGUUGGGUUAAGUCCCGCAACGAGCGCAACCCUUAAGCUUAGUUGCCAUCAUUAAGUUGGGCACUCUAAGUUGACUGCCGGUGACAAACCGGAGGAAGGUGGGGAUGACGUCAAAUCAUCAUGCCCCUUAUGAUUUGGGCUACACACGUGCUACAAUGGACAAUACAAAGGGCAGCGAAACCGCGAGGUCAAGCAAAUCCCAUAAAGUUGUUCUCAGUUCGGAUUGUAGUCUGCAACUCGACUACAUGAAGCUGGAAUCGCUAGUAAUCGUAGAUCAGCAUGCUACGGUGAAUACGUUCCCGGGUCU
rnacentral:rRNA from 1 species